rnacentral:piRNA from 1 species
UGAUGUCCUUCUAUUUCCAUA